rnacentral:rRNA from 1 species
GACGAACGCUGGCGGCGUGCUUAACACAUGCAAGUCGAACGGAAAGGCCUCUUUCGGGGGGUACUCGAGUGGCGAACGGGUGAGUAACACGUGAGUAACCUGCCCUUGACUUUGGGAUAACUUCAGGAAACUGGGGCUAAUACCGGAUAGGAGCUCCUGCUGCAUGGUGGGGGUUGGAAAGUUUCGGCGGUUGGGGAUGGACUCGCGGCUUAUCAGCUUGUUGUUGGGGUAGUGGCUUACCAAGGCUUUGACGGGUAGCCGGCCUGAGAGGGUGACCGGCCACAUUGGGACUGAGAUACGGCCCAGACUCCUACGGGAGGCAGCAGUGGGGAAUAUUGCACAAUGGGUGGAAGCCUGAUGCAGCAACGCCGUGUGCGGGAUGACGGCCUUCGGGUUGUAAACCGCUUUCGCUCAUGACGAAGCUUUGUGUGACGGUAGUGGGUAAAGAAGCACCGGCUAACUACGUG